GUCAAUUUCUGAAUUAGAGAUCGGGUCCAUUCUAUUACAUUUUUUGAGGUUAAAAAUUAUGUCUCUAAAUGCUGAACAAAAAGCCAAAGUAGUGCUUGAGCAUGGUAGUUCUGCU
rfam:Candidatus Hamiltonella defensa 5AT (Acyrthosiphon pisum), complete genome.